CUACGGGUGGCAGCAGUGAGGAAUAUUGCGCAAUGGGGGGAACCCUGAUGCAGCAACGCCGCGUGGAGGAUGACGCAUUUCGGUGUGUAAACUCCUUUUAUAUGUCAAGAAAAUGACGGUAGCAUAUGAAUAAGCACCGGCUAACUCCGUGCCAGCAGCCGCGGUAAUACGGAGGGUGCAAGCGUUACUCGGAAUCACUGGGCGUAAAGGACGCGUAGGCGGGUUGGAAAGUCAGGUGUGAAAUCCUACAGCUUAACUGUAGAACUGCACUUGAAACUUCUAAUCUAGAGUAUGGGAGGGGGGGAUGGAAUUAGUGGUGUAGGGGUAAAAUCCGUAGAUAUCACUAGGAAUACCUAAAGCGAAGGCGAUCUCCUGGAACAUUACUGACGCUAAGGCGUGAAAGCGUGGGGAGCAAACAGGAUUAGAUACCCCCGUAGUC
rnacentral:rRNA from 1 species